rnacentral:rRNA from 1 species
GUACGGGAGGCAGCAGUGGGGAAUAUUGGACAAUGGGCGAAAGCCUGAUCCAGCAAUGCCGCGUGAAUGAUGAAGGCCCUAGGGUUGUAAAGUUCUUUUAGCAGGGAAGAUAAUGACGGUACCUGCAGAAAAAGCCCCGGCUAACUCCGUGCCAGCAGCCGCGGUAAGACGGAGGGGGCUAGCGUUGUUCGGAAUUACUGGGCGUAAAGAGCGCGUAGGCGGUCUAGUAAGUUGGGAGUGAAAGCCCGGGGCUUAACCUCGGAAUUGCUUUCAAAACUGCUAGUCUAGAGUGUAGUAGGGGAUGAUGGAAUUCCUAGUGUAGAGGUGAAAUUCUUAGAUAUUAGGAGGAACACCGGUGGCGAAGGCGGUCAUCUGGGCUACAACUGACGCUGAUGCGCGAAAGCGUGGGGAGCAAACAGGAUUAGAUACCCCGGUAGU